UUAUGAAUACGAUUGAAUUUGUACUCAAAAAUCAUUUUUGAUGAUAGAACUUUUAAAUCGAUGAUCUAUAGUGUUAAACAUGAUUUAUAGCAUUGAAUCUUCUAGAAAUGAAGUAUCAUAAUUUUUUGAUAUCAUUUACCUUACGAUCAAAAGAUCUCAAAAUUGAUAAUUUUUAACGACCAGUAUAGAAUUCUUGCUAGUUUAACGGUAUAAAAGAAUAAGAAUUGGUUGGAUUUUUAGUAGAAAAUUUUAUUCACUGUCUAUAUAAAGAUCAAUAAUUCCAAUCUUAUUUAAAAGGCCGUUCAACUUUAACCAUUCAUUUUAUGUUCACUUGAUAGAGUUUAUUAUAAUUUCAAAAAAUUAUAAAAUUUAAUUUGUCAAAGUUUAAAUACUUUAAAUUAUAUUUAACAGUAUGGGUCCUCGAUUAUGAAAUUCUAUCAUUAAAAAUAAUUUGUGAGUAUGAAGAGCUCCAUGCUCA
rnacentral:lncRNA from 1 species